GUUAGAUGGAGCAAUAGAAGUUACAUACCGAAUUGGGCGGGUUAAUCCACAAUUGUCUCUAGGGUUACAAAAAUUUGCUCUUCGUUUUCUUCUUCAUUCUUCACCACCUUCCCUUUCUUCAGCUUAGCUUUGUUGGUUCGUGUUUAAAGUGAAGUUUCCAGCGCUAAUCUUGUCACAAACUCAGAACUCAGAUUGUGAGUAAUGUUUCUCGUUAAUAGCCGCCAAUAGUUAGAUGGAGCAAUAGAAGUUACAUACCAAAUUGGGCGGGUUAAUCCACAAUUGUCUAUAGGGUUACCAAUAUUUGCUCUUCGUCUUCUUCUUCAUUCUUCACCACCUUCCCUUUCUCCAGCUUAUCUUUGUUGGUUCGUGUUUAAAGUGAAGUUUCCAGCGCUAAUCUUGUCACAAACUCAGAACUCAGAUUGUGAGUAAUGUUUCUCGUUAAUAGCCGCCAAUAGUUAGAUGGAGCAAUAGAAGUUACAUACCAAAUUGGGCGGGUUAAUCCACAAUUGUCUAUAGGGUUACCAAUAUUUGCUCUUCGUCUUCUUCUUCAUUCUUCACCACCUUCCCUUUCUCCAGCUUAUCUUUGUUGGUUCGUGUUUAAAGUGAAGUUUCCAGCGCUAAUCUUGUCACAAACUCAGAACUCAGAUUGGUAACUCAAUUCUCAUCUCUUAUUAAUUUUAUCAACUUUCUGUAUUAAAUCAUUUGGUUUAACAUU